rnacentral:lncRNA from 1 species
GAGACAAGGUCUCACUCUAUCGCCCAGGAUGGAGUGCAGUGGCGUGUUCUUGGCUAACUGCAACCUCCACCUCCCAGGUUCAAGCAAUUCUCCUGCCUCAGCCUCCCAAGUAGCUGGGAUUACAGGCACAUGCCACCACCCCCAGCUAAUUUUUUUUGUAUUUUUAGUAGAGAUGGCGUUUCAACAUGUUGGCCAGGCUGGUCUCAAACUCCUGACCUCAGUAUCUGCCCGCCUCAGUCUCCCAAAGUGCUGGGAUUACAGGCAUGAGCCACCGCGCCUGGCCUAAUUUCUUAACCUUUCUAAGUUUCUACAGAGCAGCAGGGGCACUAGGUCCUGAACAAAGCAACAGGUCCCUAGAAGUUAGAGAAGGGGAGCAGAGAAGCAGAGAAGGAGAGGACAGAGACGUGGGCAAAGAGCAGCACCUCAUGUGUUCAGGGAUAAUCCUUCGGAAAAGUCUCUGGAUUAUAUAUUAAGUCCUGAGAAUAACACGGAAAAAGUAUCAGAUUUGGCCAGGCGCGGUGGCUCAUGCCUGUAAUCUCAGCACUUUGGGAGGCCGAGGCAGGUGGAUCACCUGAGGUCAGGAGUUCGAGACCAGCCUGACCAACAUGGAAAAACUCCGUCUCUACUAAAAAUACAAAAUUAGCUGGGUGUGGUGACGCAUGCCUAUCAUCACAGCUACUCAGGAGGCUGUGGCAGGAGAAUUGCUUGAACGCAGGACGCAGAGGUUGCGGUGUGAGCCACCUCGCCUGGACUACUUUCACUUUCCUUACCUGUAAAAUGAGGAAUAAUACUAGCUGCCUCAAUUAAUGUGUUACUG